rnacentral:rRNA from 1 species
UACGUAGGGUGCGAGCGUUGUCCGGAAUUACUGGGCGUAAAGAGCUCGUAGGCGGUUUGUCGCGUCUGCUGUGAAAACUCGAGGCUCAACCUCGGGCUUGCAGUGGGUACGGGCAGACUAGAGUGCGGUAGGGGUGACUGGAAUUCCUGGUGUAGCGGUGGAAUGCGCAGAUAUCAGGAGGAACACCGAUGGCGAAGGCAGGUCACUGGGCCGCAACUGACGCUGAGGAGCGAAAGCAUGGGGAGCGAACAGG